UCAGCUUUCAGAUGGUCAUCGCCCAUCACCAGCGGAAGGAGAGUUGCAAGCUCCAUCAUUCCUAGCAAGGAGCGGCCUGUUGCGAUAAAUGAAGCUGCGGCCAGAAGUUCUAGCUCAAAUGUUUUCAGGCCAGUUCAAUUUCAUCAACACGCUUGGAAAAGUUUCACAAACUGCCAGCUGCAGUUCCAGUUCACAUGGCUUGGAGCUUGGACGACUUAAUCACUUUCAAGAAGGUGAAGGUCAAGCAUUCAACAAUGGAGGUGCGUCUGCAGAAUCUGCAGCUAGAAGCCAGUCCGAAUACCAGUGAGUGGGAGGAGAAUCUACAUACCCGAGUGAGAGAGCUGAAGUCUUUCUCAAGGUUCAAGGCUGCUUCAUUGCAUCUAUGCAUCAUUCUGUCGUCUAUAACAAUAACUUCAUUUAAGAUGCCGACCGGCCACCCUAUGCCCCCUUGAAUAUUAAGUCAUUCCGAUCUCAGCGUACCUUCGAAAUCUCGUGAGCUACAACAAAAUUGAUGCAUCACUAAAUCCCAUUGCCUCUUCUUUUGUAUGUUCUCGCGUGCUCGAUAGAUGAAACAAUUUAGUGUAAGAAUGAUGGAUUAUGACCGCUGUCGAAUAGCAUCUCUUUCUCUUUCUGUUACAGGGAUGACAGUUUCUGUUCUCCCCGGAGGUACGCCUGAGGUAAGAAAAAUGGUCUGGCUUCGUUUCGUGAUGCUUAGUUCGAGUUCAUUUAGUGAAGCUCGCUUAACUCAACUCAACUCGAGUGAGGAAUAUUUAUUGUUUUCCUCAUUGUUUCAUCUUCAUUUUUGUCAUUUUCCUCUUUCUUCACUCUCUUCAACUUUCAUUCUCUGAUGCCAACUAACUCCUGAUCAGCACCGACAUCCAGCGAUCGGUGGAAUUGCUGAUGGCAAUCAGCCUACAAUAACGGUAUUGUACACCCAGUAUCUUUGGGGCUAAGGUGCGUAUGUAUAUAUAUGACCCCCGAGAGUGAAACUGGCUCCAUCGCAUGAUUCGCAUCGCGGUCCUCUACCUCUUGGUGCAGACUAAGUUCUUCGUCACAAACAAACAAGGACGAUCGGUCCGCUAAGUUCGUCACCAGAAUCAUGCUACGAAUGAUCGGUCAGCUCGUUCUUCCCCACAGCAAAACUUUGGGACUCCGAUCGACUCAGCCGCAGACGUCUUGCAUUCCCUCACCAUCACAACGGUCGACAAAUAGGUUUCACCGGACAUUCUGCUACUCUGUCCUCCGGUAGCACCAGCCAGCUUAGUCAGGUAGUGUGCGGCAAGAAAAAUUCAUUUGUUGGAGGAAAAAGCUUCCCCAGGGCACCUUUACUUAAUGGCUGUACCAGAAAUCAACGUUAAGCUACCUGGGCAAGAGGAACGAGACCAAGAUAAUGGUCCAGAGGCAAAUCUGCCACCCAAUGGUCAGACGGAGUGGGUGACUGUUUGGAGGCCAAUGGCACAGUUCAUCGUAUACUUGGGAACUGGUUUCUUGUUGUUUCUUUUCCGCGAAGCCAUCUUUGGAGGAAAACCUCAAGCUAACUGGACUUACAUCAUCCUGAUGCUCAUUCAAUUGUUGGUUUUAACUUCCGUUUGCCAUUCAGUUACUGCACUCUUCUUCUCAACCAACAUGACAAUCAAAGAACGCUGCCACGAGGUGCGCUUGUCUCUCACCUGGCUAAUGAUCAUCAUAAUCCUUGCAGUAAUAUCAUCCAUCGUCCUCAUGGCCAAAGCGUACCGGGCAUCACUAGCAUAAACCAGGUUUCUCUCUCUCUCUCUUUUGUUACAUCUGUCUGCAACAUUAUGAAUAUUGUCUUGUAAUUUCUAAACAUGAGAGAGACAGAAUCAGGUGAAGGACUCAACUGUUUUCGCUUCUUUUCAUUAUACGCUCAAUUUUCGCUUUGGUC